CUACGGGAUGCAGCAGUGGGGAAUAUUGCACAAUGGAGGAAACUCUGAUGCAGCAACGCCGCGUGGAGGAUGACACUUUUCGGAGCGUAAACUCCUUUUAUAUAGGAAGAAGAUGACGGUACUAUAUGAAUAAGCGCCGGCUAACUCCGUGCCAGCAGCCGCGGUAAUACGGAGGGCGCAAGCGUUACUCGGAAUCACUGGGCGUAAAGAGCGUGUAGGCGGAUUAAAAAGUCAGAAGUGAAAUCCUAUAGCUUAACUAUAGAACUGCUUCUGAAACUCUUAAUCUAGAAUAUGGGAGAGGUAGAUGGAAUUUCUGGUGUAGGGGUAAAAUCCGUAGAGAUCAGAAGGAAUACCGAUUGCGAAGGCGAUCUACUAGAACAUUAUUGACGCUGAGACGCGAAAGCGUGGGGAGCAAACAGGAUUAGAUACCGUGUAGUC
rnacentral:rRNA from 1 species